UCAUUACACCUCUCAAGCUCUGCUUGGUAUUGGGCCUUCGUCCCCCGGGACGUGCCCGAAAGUUAGUGGCGGUGCAGCCUGACUUCAAGCGUAGUAACUUAAAACCCGCUUCGGAAGCCUUCAGGUUGGGCCGGCCAGACAACCCCAACUAUUUUUCUAUGGUUGACCUCGGAUCAGGUAGGGAUACCCGCUGAACUUAA
rnacentral:misc_RNA from 1 species